GUGCAGCAGGCGCGAAACCUUCGCAAUGCGGGAAACCGCGACGAGGGGACUCCCAGUGCCUACGCUCAGCGUAGGCUGUUCCCGAGCCUAGAAAGCUCGGGGAGUAAGGGCUGGGUAAGACGGGUGCCAGCCGCCGCGGUAAUACCCGCAGCCCGAGUGGUGGCCACUAUUAUUGGGCCUAAAGCGUCCGUAGCCGGCCCGGUAAAUGCCUGGGUAAAUCGUGAGGCCUAACCUCACGAAUUCCGGGUAGACUGCCGGGCUAGGGACCGGAGGAGGGAGAGGGUACUCCAGGGGUAGGGGUGAAAUCCUGUAAUCCCUGGAGGACCACCGGUGGCGAAGGCGCUCUCCUAGGACGGGUCCGACGGUGAGGGACGAAAGCCAGGGGAGCGAACCGGAUUAGAUACCCGCGUAGU
rnacentral:rRNA from 1 species